rfam:Gossypium arboreum cultivar AKA8401 contig_124694_1, whole genome shotgun sequence.
CGCGAGACAACUCUCUCUAAAGAACUCAGCAAAAUAGCCUCAUAACUUCAGGAGAAGGGAUGUGCCUCCUCACAAAAGGGGCCAUAGUGACAAGGCCCGAGCGAUUGUUUACUAAAAAUAAAGGUCUCCGCAAACUCGUAAGACAAUGUAUGGGGGUUGACGCCUACACAGUACCUGAAGGUCAAGGAAGUUGAUGACCUAAUGACAAGGAAGCCGACAACUGAAGCCUCGGCGAAUGGCGAUCGUAACCAUAAUGGUCCUAAGGUAGCAAAAUUCCUUGUCUGGUAAAUUCAUGACCUACAGGAAAGGUGUAAUGAUUUGGGUACUGCCUCAGAGAGAGGCUCG